UUGCCCCUCAUCCCGACAUUGAACGGAACACGGAGCGGUGAAGCAAAGAAUUACGCAGAGCAGCUCUUUAAUUCGGACGUCCUCCAGUCUCUCCCCGG